CACAGAGUUAGCCGGUGCUUAUUCUGCGAGUAACGUCCACUCACUUUAGGUAUUAACUAAAGGAGCCUCCUCCUCGCUUAAAGUGCUUUACAACCAAAAGGCCUUCUUCACACACGCGGCAUGGCUGGAUCAGGCUUCCGCCCAUUGUCCAAUAUUCCCCACUGCUGCCUCCCGUAGGAGUCUGGGCCGUGUCUCAGUCCCAGUGUGGCGGAUCAUCCUCUCAGACCCCGCUACAGAUCGUCGCCUUGGUAGGCCUUUACCCCACCAACUAGCUAAUCCGACUUAGGCUCAUCUAUUAGCGCAAGGUCCGAAGAUCCCCUGCUUUCCCCCGUAGGGCGUAUGCGGUAUUAGCGUUCCUUUCGGAACGUUGUCCCCCACUAAUAGGCAGAUUCCUAAGCAUUACUCACCCGUCCGCCGCUAGGAUAUGUAGCAAGCUACAUCUCCCCGCUCGACUUGCAUGUGUUAAGCCUGCCGCCAGCGUUCAAUCUGAGCCAGGAUCAAACU
rnacentral:rRNA from 1 species